UGGUGUCCAUCCGCUGUAACAGCAACUCCAUGUGGGAGGGGUCCGUGGUCCCCGUGGGGCUGCUGUUAUUCUGGACGGGCAC
rfam:Alligator mississippiensis ScZkoYb_310, whole genome shotgun sequence.